rnacentral:lncRNA from 1 species
UCACAAAAGAUACACACUUUACCUAUAUAUUGUAACCCAUAAGCCUAACAUGUCUGUAAUUUAAAAUGUAUGGCUACCAUAUUCUCUUAUUUAGAGAAACCAAACAACAAACUGGGUUCGUACUUCAUACAUACAGACUCUACGAUAAUAACAAUAAAGGAAUAACACAUGAGAAGUCGAGCGACAUGGCUCUUAUUCCUUGGAGAACAUAAUAGAUAUUUAUUCAAAGCUGAGAUGAUCUACUGGAAAGAACGUCCACAAGGACAACACCAAAUUAAAAGAGCAUUCAAUAUUUUGUAACAAAAAUAAUAUAGAGCUGGAUAUACAUUUGCAUGAAGAAUUGUUUCACCUGAUAGAAAAUCAGCAACUUGACAUCCCUAUCCUAUUUUGCCCGGUUCAAUAAUAGCUUGUUGGACAUCACUGCUGAAAGCUGUGCGAUUCCGUGCUAAAGUGUGUGUUUCCUGUUGCUUGAGAGAGCCCAACCACAUGAAUACAUGAGCAACGAAAUAACAUUUCUUGCAAAAACGGAUAACCUGCAAUCC